rnacentral:sRNA from 1 species
GUAAGAUGGCGGACCGGCGGCGGCAGCGCGCUUCGCAAGACACCGAGGACGAGGAAUCUGGUGCUUCGGGCUCCGACAGCGGCGGCUCCCCGUUGCGGGGAGGCGGGAGCUGCAGCGGUAGCGCCGGAGGCGGCGGCAGCGGUUCUCUGCCUUCACAGCGCGGAGGCCGAACCGGGGCCCUUCAUCUGCGGCGGGUGGAGAGCGGGGGCGCCAAGAGUGCUGAGGAGUCGGAGUGUGAGAGUGAAGAUGGCAUUGAAGGUGAUGGUGAGUAGCAUCUUUUACCCCAUUAGGACAAGAGUUUUUUUUUAACAUAAACUCAGGUCAUCUAUUUCCAACAUCGACAUUCUCACACACUGUCACGGAUUUAGGGCCACAGAGUGCCUUUUUGUAACAUAGUGGUUAAGAGCAUAGGCUUUAGCAGUAUAGUCUUCAGCAAGUUACCCUCUGAGCCUGUUUCUCCUUUUGUAAGUGGGGACUAUAAUUUUAUCCACGUUGUAGGUUGAUGUCAGAAUUAAAUGAGACUCUUAGUCUGACCUGUAAUAAGCAGCCAAAAAAUGUUUCUGGGUUUCUUUUUUUCC